rnacentral:lncRNA from 1 species
CCUUGAACACCUCCUCCUUUUGGAACUUUGCAUUCGAAGGCGCUGUGAGAGGCGAUUUCUGCCAUAAGCCACAUUAUCUCUGAUGAUCCAUUCCCGUCUCUUCCAUUGUGAGUGGAAGUGCAGAAAAAAACAAGGUCAUAACUCAGAGAAAGAGGCUGGAGCCAUCUCAUAAAACCCAACUAUUCUGAACAGGAAAUCCACAAAUGCCGAGAGCCCGUUCCAUGUGCAAACUGUCCAAGGAAGGCUAAGUAAAAGCAUGACCUUCACUCCCACAAUCUUCUCUGAAGCGUGUGUUUUGUUAACUAUACCAGUUGCAUGCAGGAUUCCCUCCUCUUAUUUUUGUUAGACAACAAUUAUAUGCUGGGUCAUGUGUGGUGCAUUUAUCCCUUGAUUUAUUUUUCCUAUUAGAUAUUUUGCUACCCAUGGGGCAUGAGCAUGACACUGUUUGCCGAAUUAAAAAUCGAGAUGUCACACAAAAUCCAGAUAUCCAAAAUCACUUAAAAUUUUUUUGAAGAUCCCGUCACCCACAUCCCCAUGUGUCAACAGCUGCCUCCCACAGAUGGAACAUUCGCUUCCAGUCGGUUCCUCUGCACAUCCCCCCUUGUUCUCACACCAGACCACCCUCAUUUGACAUUGACUCAACUCUAAUCUUUUACUUCCUGUCCUGGCUUUCUGCCUAAAAUAACUCCUCACAACCCAAUACUUAUGGUAAAACAGUCUUAUUGAAGUGCACGCAGGUCAUAAACUGUCAAAAUCUAAAGCCCCUUUGAUGGUAAUAUUUCAUUUUCACCUAGUUACCAAGAUUACACUAUCACAUAUUUUUUCCCUCAAUAUUAAUAAGCAACGCAGGAAUUAUACAAGUGGUUGAUGUGCAAUUGCCCUAACUUCUCUUUCUAGAUAGUCUUGCUUCUGUUUCCUAUUAGUGAAAGAAAAUCCCUCCUAAUCACAUCCUGCUUCAAACUACAUAACAUCACAAGACAGCCUCUGAAAUUAUAAUUGUUUCAGUAUCCUUAUUUUUCAGCAACUUCAAUAACUCUCCAAAAUAUAAUCAAAUAAGGGACUUAACUUUUUUUUUUCCCUUUUUAGGGCCACACCCAUGGCAUAUGGAAGUUCCCAGGCUAGGGGUCCAAUCGGAGCUAUGGCUGCUGGGCCACACCACGGCCACAGCAACAUGGGAUCUGAGCCACAUCUGUGACCUACACCCUGGCUCAUGGCAAUACUGGAUCCCCGACUCACUGAAAUGAAGCCAGGGAUUGCACCCACAUCCUCAUGGAUACGAGUUGGGUGUAUUAGCUGCAUCACACGGGGGAACUCCCAAGGGAAUUAAGUCUUUUAUCUUUUUGUUAUUGUUUGAACUGUGAAGCAGAGGUCUUUCUGGGUUUUUGGUUCUGGUGCAUUUCAGAAAGUAAGUUAUUCAGUUAGUCAGGUAGUUUUAAGUUUUAUAUUACCAGUACAACUCUAAUUUUCUUAUACAAUUACCUACUUACAAUAGGUUUCAUGAAAAAAGACAUGUAACAAGCAUCUAAUUUUAUACUGCUGGCCUAUUUGCAUUGUUUUAGUCAGUCUGGCAGACUUUAUAGAACAAAGUGAAACCUCACCCUAAAAUUUUUGACACUUAAAUAGUCAAAAUAUACUAGAUUUUUUUCUCUGCCAAAAAUCUCUGUGCUAAUGUUCUAAUGCAGUUGAGCUGUGGGAAAGAAUACACGCAGCUUUUGCUCAAAACGAUUCAAGAAAUCAUUUAAAAUUAAUUUCUCACCAAAGACUAGAGAAGAAUCUCUCAAGAAUUCUUCAGAAGCACAUGGAAAAUUUUCAUGACCCUCUGCAGGGUAUAAAACAAUAUUUAAAAAGUCAUUGAGGGAGUUCCCGUUGUGGCUCAGUGGUUAGCGAAUCCGACUAGGAACCAUGAGGUUUCGGGUUCAAUCCCUGGCCUUGCUCAGUGGGUCAAGGAUCCAGCAUUGCCACCUUAUCAAUGCCCUAGAAGGCCCCUCCUGCCCUUUAUGGACAAUGCCACCCUUAAGGAUAACCACUAUUAUGACUUCAUAGAGUAUACUUUUGAUGCAAAGAAUUUUAUUUGCAUAGGUUCUAAAUAUGAUUGAAUGUUUUUCAAUGUUUCUAAAUGCUAUAGCAACAAACAGUAAUAAUCAAUGAACAUUUAAAAUCAUUUAAAAUUGUAUUUUAAUUGUAUUUCACAGAAUACCUUGCUUCUUUUUCUACAUUGCAUUUAUUUAUUUAUUUUCGAACCCACAACCUCAUGCAGAAGUUCCCAGGCCAGGGAUCAAACCCAUGCCACAGCAGUAACCAGAGCCACAGCAGUGACAAUGCCAGAUCUUUGACCCACUGAGCUGCAUGAGAACUUCUGCAUCCUUUUUUUUUUUUUUUGCUUUUUAGGGCUGCACCGGUGACAUAUGGAUGUUCUCAGGCUAGGCGUCCAAUCAGAGCUAUAGCUGCCGGCCUAUGUCACAGCCACAGCAACAUCAGAUCCGAGUCACAUCUGCAAUCUACACCACAGCUCAUCACAACACCAGAUCCUUAACCCACUGGGUGAGGCCAGGGAUCGAACCUGAAACCUCAUGGUUCCCAGUUGGAUUUGUUUCCGCUGUGCCACGAUGGGAUCUCUACUCCUGUACCCUUUUUAUUUAUUUAAAAAUGUUAAAAAAAAUUUUUUUUUUUUUGUCUUUUGCCUCCAUAUGCCNUGCGUGGAGGUUCCCAUGCUAAGGGUUGAAUCAGAGCUGUAGCUGCCCCUGCCACAGCCACAGCAAUGCCAGAUCCAAGCUGCGUCUGCAACCUACACCACAGCUCACGGCAAUGCCGGAUCCUUAACCCACUGAAUGAGGCCACGGAUUGAACCUGCGUGCACAUGGAUACUAGUCAGAUUCGUUUCUGAUAAGCCACGACAGGAACUCCUCCCACAUCCUUUUUUAAAAAGUUAUUGUUUUAUUCGUCUUCAUUUUCCAACAUGAAUCUUUGGUCUAUACUUGAGAUCUCUGCUUUCCAUUUUGGCUA